rnacentral:rRNA from 1 species
CCUACGGGAGGCAGCAGUGAGGAAUAUUGGUCAAUGGGCGGAAGUCUGAACCAGCCAUGCCGCGUGCGGGAAGACGGCUCUAUGAGUUGUAAACUGCUUUUGUACAAGGGUAAACCUGAAUACGUGUAUUAAGCUGCAAGUACUUUAUGAAUAAGGAUCGGCUAACUCCGUGCCAGCAGCCGAGGUAAUACGGAGGAUCCAAGCGUUAUCCGGAUUUAUUGGGUUUAAAGGGUGCGUAGGCGGAUUGAUAAGUUAGAGGUGAAAGGUCGGGGCUUAACCGGGGAACUGCCUUUGAUACUGGUGACCUUGAGGACAGGAGCGGUAGGCGGAAUGCGUGGUGUAGCGGUGAAAUGCUUAGAGAUCACGCAGAACACCGAUUGCGAAGGCAGCCUACCAGUCUGUAACUGACGUUGAGGCUCGAAAGCGUGGGGAGCAAACAGGAUUAGAUACCCCAGUAGUC